CUAAACACCUAUUUUGCAAUGCUCUUCUACUUUGACUUAUUUGGCUUUAUAACUUUUUUGAACUGAGCGUCACUGAUGAGUCUUAUGUAGACGAAACGAGGGUCUGACGUACUAAAUUAUCAUCCCAGUACCUUGAUGAAUAUUGAUACGGAUAAAAAAUAAAAAUAACCCCACUAAAAGUAAGUAUUUACUAAAAACAGGAG
rnacentral:lncRNA from 1 species